rnacentral:tRNA from 1 species
GUGGCUGGGCGCUAUCUCGUAAGCCGGUAGCGCGCCACGCUUCCGGCGUGGCGCGCAAGACGGACGUCUACGGAGUCCUGCCGGCCAGGCCA